AAGAAUCAUAUGAAAACAAUAAUGGGGAAUAAUGUCCCACAAUCUCAAUCAACAUCUCUAUAAUGUCUGUGAAAUCUCUACUACAUGACUGAAAUAAAUAUCUAUCUGAAAACUGGGACAAGGCCCCCAGUAGACCCAAAACUAAUAAAUGAUAAAUGAAACUGGCAGAUAUCAGGCCUUCCAAAAUAUAGAAGGCUCACCAAGUGACUCUGCGAAUCUGUCUGAGAAAAUCUACUGAUUUUUUGGACCCAUAGACUGUGCCUCCAAACCUGGGAGGGAAGGGGAUCAAUACAAAAGUACUGGUACGUAGAGAUAUCAAAACAAAACAUAAUAUUUUUACAAAAUAUAGUUGAGAGCCAUUAUAAAGAAGUUUCAUAUCAAAUCAUUUGAAAACACAUGGGCAUAAUGUAAUUGUUUUCAACAACAAUGCAAUGCAGCUGAGCUAGGUGAAAUACCCUACAUAUCACAUUUACACCAACUGUCAAACCUCGGUUGCCGCCGAGAUUAGAGUAUAAGUGAGGGGAAGACAGACAAGAUCACACAGCAGGGUGUCUCGACCCAAUGGUAGUGCACAAAAUCACAAAGCAGGGCUCCUAACCAUAGUCCCAAUUUGGGAAUGACAUAAAGUCAGGUACGCAAGAUCACAAAGCAUGGUACCAAGUUCCUAUGUCGGCAAACACAGUUUCCAGCGAUGAUCCCUUACACUCAAACACCUUCUUCGGGCAUCCACCUAUCUCGUGUAAAAUCAACGCAUUCAAAUUUCAUCUGAUUCAAUCACAUAUUAUAUUCUGUAGGGUAUCGUCAUACCCGACUUGCUAGUCAUCAAUAUCACAUCAAUACUUCAUGCAACCAUUAUAUUCAUCAUAUUUCAACAUAAUAACCCUCUCCUUGCAAGUCGAACAUCAUAUCCACUUUCAAAAUAAUUCAUGUCAUGCUUGUCAAAAUGAUUUCAAACAAUUCACAUCAUAUGAAAAUUUCAAACAAUUUCAUAUCAAGAGAGGGGUUUCAUAUAAUUCAUGCUCUCAAGUUAACAUCUUUUGAAUCACAAGCAUAUGCAUAUAUAAUAUAUCGAAUCACUUCGGAAAUAGGCCUAAAGAACAAAUCAAUAUCAUAAAGAUGCUUGAAACAUGUUUAUAUUCAUAAUUUCAAAACCCCCAUUUUUAAAAACAUGAAUUUUUAAGCCCAUGAGAUUUUUGAGAUAACCCCACGUACCUCUAUAUGCGAAUAUGAUGGGUGCUUCUUGAAGCCUACGUUGCGGGGAUUUCAAAUCUUCAAUUUGUUUUGAAAACCCAUGAUUGAAUCUUGAGUUAUUGUGGUUUUUAUUUUGAAACCCUACGGGGUGUUCUUGAGUGAAAAUUUGAGAAAAGGAUUAUAUUUUGAUGAAUUGGGGGCUAAAUCUGGUGUUAUAGACGAAAUUUGGGUGAGGUAAAAUGACUAAAAUGCCCCAAAGAAAACAAAAAAAUUUGAAAAUGUCCUUCAGUUGACAAGCUGACAAGCUGAAGUAAAAUGGGUAUAACUCCUUACUCAAAUUUUAGAUUUGGAUGAAAUUAGUUGCAUUGGAAAUAAGACUCAAAUAUCUUUCAUUUUAUAUGUAGCAGCUCUCCCAGUUCAGUAUAUUCAGAGAGUUAUGAUCGUUUGAAGUUGACCCUGAAAGGCUGAAAACUGGGCAAUAGGCUAUGCGUUUUGCUACUGUUUUGAAAUCCAAACGCAGCUUUAUGCAUUCCGAAAAAUUCUGAAACUUAUCCGAGAUGUACUAUGAUAUUUCCCAAUCGUAACACAACUUGAAAAUCUAAAAACGGAUGUUGGGAAGGUUGAAAAGUUGUAUCCCGAAGAUAGCCAGCUAAAAUGACUCUAAGUCCUCAUUACACUUUAGAAAAAAUAUUCUAGUGAUUAGCCCCUCAAACAUAACACUAAAAAUGAAAUCGACUCAAGAAUUUUAUGAAGCAUUAUGAUAGGAGUGAUUACCACACGUAUGUUAAUAAAGAAUAAUUCAGUUUGGGUCUAUAUACGUAGGAACGACGGUCUAAACUCUAGCCCAAAAAUACGGGGUGUUACAUUAUCUCCCCCUUGGGAUCAUUCGUCCUAGAAUGAUGGGUAGGAAUAUAUUGAAGUUUAGAGGUAUGGAAUAACGCGGACAUGAUAUGUUUCUCUAAGAAAGAAUACACUAAUUUGAAACAUGACUAUAAGGCUGGAACUACUGAUGUACAAAAUUCUUAUACUGGACGUGUAUAUCUGAUGCAUGGAAUACACGACUGAAGCUAUUCAUAAGCUGAAUUCUCAUAAUGAACAUGCAUAUCUGAUGCAUGGAUCUAUGACUGAGUUGUUCUCAUGAACGCAGGACUAAAUACACUGAUAAGCUGAACUUUUUCUAUUGAACAUGCAUUUCUAAUGCAUGCAUAUCUAACUGAACUGACGUAUGAAUGUAUUACUAAAUACACAAUGAUAGCUGGUGCGAGGCUUGUAAUAAGAAUCUAUGCAUGCAACUGAAUGAGGUAUCUCCCCCUUGGGAUCCUAUGUCCCUCUAUGAAUGCCCAAUUCACUAAGAUACUCGGGAAACUGAGGCGAUGCACAGGGCACCUACGAAUUGAAUCAUAACUGAACCUCUGGAAUCUGAAUCUAAUGCAUGACGCAUGAACUGAUCUAUACUCGCAAUUACUAGUAUACUCUAUCUUGGAAUAGUAGCAUGUCUGAGAUUUCGGGUAGCAUGAAUAAAUGAAAUGACGAGAAAACAAGCCAUGAGAAUCUGCUUGUUAAACUGACUUACUGACUAUACAGACUGAAUUAUGUUGGACCUUCAUACUUAACUGGAGUAUUCUCUUCAACAAUCUCUCUAAGGAAGUUCUAGCAGUAAUACGGAGCCACGAAUCUUGGGUAUGGAUUACACAAGACACCCACUAAGGAAUCAUCACAAUGACAUCACUCUAUAGUCUGGAAUAUAGACAUAUAACUCCUAAAUUAGGAUAGAAUUACCAGACCUUUGGCAAUACAACUUCUUACUUUCAAGCUUAGCACGCUUCUCGAAUAUCCCUUAACUAUACUAUUCCCUAUAAAUAUCAUAUUCAUUCAAUUCAUCUUAAAAUUCUCAUAUGAGCAUUGACAAAAAAAAAAUUCUACUAAUGUCUAAAAUAGCUUAAUCCUUACACCACGAUCAAGCCUAACUCUAAGUCACAAAAAUACAACAUGAUACACCACGCUAUUAUUCUAAACCAUAUGAUGCCACCUUCUAUACCUCUUUUAAAGAUUACAUCCUAAGCAUAACAUGCCUUACCACUUCAAUGACUACUCUGAACUCUUACUAUGAAGUCGCUAAUGCAUAUUGCGACCUUCCACUACAAUCCCAAAACGUCAUUUAAGCCUAUUUUAUAACCUUAUGUUGACUUCAAGGAAACCACCCAUAAAUACGUACUUCACAUAGUUUCUAAACUAUUAUCAAUAUAACUCCCACGCACUGCCCUAAGACAUACACACACAAACUUUUCCACUAACCAUCAUGUGUAUCAAAGACUUGGCCCCAACUCUUACUUCAUACUUAUGGCCUUAUCUAAGCAAGCAUACUAUGAUCUUCCAUCAACAAGAACAUUUACAUCAUCACCACUAUCAUUGCAUAGGGAGGGUCACUAAAAGGUUAAAACAUAAGAUCCUGAAGCAUGAAAAGAUUUUUAUACGGGACUGAGCACACUAUAAAGAGUGAGUACAUGCGUCAUGUGUUGCAUGACCUCAACUAGAGUUCAUAACAUAAGGAAUGUGAUUCCGACUACGUGAAUAAACUAGAACUCAUUAUCUCGGAACUGGAAGAGUACGUGACUGUCUAUCAUAUACAGGAAUCAUGAACUAUGAUUAGGGAACUGGAUCGUAAGGCAUGAGUAAGCAUCCGAAUAACUAAAAAAAAAUACUGAGGUAGGAAUGGGUUGAGAUUCACCCUCACUUUCUAAUGUUCUAAAUCAUACUGCAUCACUACUAGAAUCUGAGAGCCUUACUUGGUCAUUCAUUCUAUCAUCUCCCCCUUAGCUUCAAGUCAUCAUCUAGAGUUUGGGAGAUCCCUUACCAAAUUCUAACUGAAUUACACUUACUGCACUCUAGGGUCUAAAAGAAAAAUAAAUGGCAAUACAUGUAUAUAGUAGACUUUACCCGAAUGACUACCUUCUGGGAUACACUCUAUCUUUCCAUGUCUAUCAUAUACAGGAAUCAUGAACUAUGAUUAGGGAACUGGAUCGUAAGGCAUGAGUAAGCAUCCGAAUAACUAAAAAAAAAUACUGAGGUAGGAAUGGGUUGAGAUUCACCCUCACUUUCUGACGUUCUAAAUCAUACUAUAUCACUACUAGAAUCUAAGAGACUUACUUGGUCAUUCGUUCUAUCAUCUCUCCCUUAGAUUCAAGUCAUCAUCUAGAGUUUGUGAGAUCCCUUACUAGAUUCUAACUGAACUACACUUACUGCACUUUAGGGUCUGAAAGAAAAAAAAUGACAAUACAUGCAUAUCAUAAACUUAACCCGAAUGACUACCUUCUGGGACACACUCAAUCUUUCCAUAGCCACCAAUAGUCAUAGUAUAAUGCUUGCACACUUAUUUCUAUCGGUUCAACCUUCAAAACUCAAACUUAGAUUGUAACACUUAACAUGGCUAUUUAGAUCACCAUAUACCAUCUAACUAGUCUUUAUCCACUUAAUAAUUCAAUGGUACUACUAGCCACACAAAUUAUGUAAUAGUCUUAGAAAAAUAUGGCGCAACCUCAUAUCACCUUGGCAUACUUCUACACCAUACCUACAACAUUAUACUUUAUUACAAAUUUAUUUAAACUUAAGUAAUUGCAUACACCGUUCAAGCCUAUUAGAUCACUUUCAUAUAACUAACAUCAUUGAUCAAGAAAUCAUCACAUCCACCUUUAUGAACUUCAACUGUUCAAACUUAAUGUCUAGUGCUAAACAUGAUUUUACAACCCAACCUUACGCAUGAUUCUCACUUGGAAACCAUGAAAUAAACAUCAAGAAACACUAGUACACUAGAACUUCAUAACAACAAUAAUCGACCUUGACCUUACGGUCUUCCUUAUCAUAACUCAUUAGCACAUACUAUUUCAACACAUCAAGUCUACUAAUAUUUAUUCUCACAACCAUGCAUCAUUAAUCUCAUGCCACUAUUCUUACAUCCACAUCCAACAUUAAAUUCAAGCCAAUGGUCUAGCAUCAAUCAUCUACCACCAAUGACGAGUGCAACAUAAUAUACUAAUCCAUCAAAUUGGAACAGUCUACCCCAAAUACUUCAAAAUCUGCUACAUACCUUCUCAUAAGUAGUACUAGUUUACAACUACCAACAAAAGAAGUUCAACGAGUAAGGUCACAUAAUAGACAUGAUCAACCUUAAAUUUAUAUUAUAACCCCAUACAAUCUUUUCUAAUUAUACGGAUUACUCACCAUAUACUUACUCAAUCAUACAUUUAGAAUGCCUUCAAAUUCCUCAAACAACCAUGAUUCUAUAAUCAUAACUUACUCGCUAAUAUAGCCAUUUUCACAUUCAAGCAACCAACAAAUCACCCUGACUAACAACUCCUUCUCUACCUUAUACUAAACUAACUCACAAGGACGAAUUACCUCUUUACCAACUCAAUCUCAUGCAAACAGAUUCAGCCAUACAUAUAUUAAANNNNNNNNNNNNNNNNNNNNNNNNNNNNNNNNNNNNNNNNNNNNNNNNNNNNNNNNNNNNNNNNNNNNNNNNNNNNNNNNNNNNNNNNNNNNNNNNNNNNNNNNNNNNNNNNNNNNNNNNNNNNNNNNNNNNNNNNNNNNNNNNNNNNNNNNNNNNNNNNNNNNNNNNNNNNNNNNNNNNNNNNNNNNNNNNNNNNNNNNNNNNNNNNNNNNNNNNNNNNNNNNNNNNNNNNNNNNNNNNNNNNNNNNNNNNNNNNNNNNNNNNNNNNNNNNNNNNNNNNNNNNNNNNNNNNNNNNNNNNNNNNNNCUUCACUAGACUUUGGUUUUGUAUUUUGAACAAGAAAAUGAAAUGGAUGACAAGGCAACUAUGCUAGUGAAUCGAAAGAGCCCCACACGGCUUCACUAGACUUUAAUUUUUUUUCAAAAACACCAUGAUAACAAGAUUACAAAUUACAAGGGAUAGAAAAUUGACACAUAAUAUACAUAUUAUUCUGUAUAAAUAAAAAUUUAAGUAAAACACUUCCUCCAUGGACUACCAUACCGUCCACACACGCUGCUAGCUACCACAUUAGUUUAUCACUAUAAAGGGGUAAAUCAUUCUAAAACAUCGGUUAUUCAACUGAAAUAUUCAUUUACACAAAAUCACCCUCACUCUGACUUCUAACUUUGUGACUUUACAUCACCAAUUUCUUGGUCCAAUAUCACUACCAAUAGAUCAUGAAAACAACACUUUAACUUAUGCUACUAUUCGGGUAGAAAUACAGUUCCAACAUUCUUCUAUACAUUGUCCACAUCUGUAACAAGAUUUUGAGAGUAACUAGAUACACUUAAUACCUUAAGCUGGAAUGCACGAUUCCAUCAGGAUCAAUAUUUACAUCAGAAUCAAUACAUAUUGAUGCACUAACAAACUCCUAUCGAGUCUUUGCACAAUUUAUAAAAUCUUAUAGGACUUAAUUGGAAAGGACUAUAUCAUGUAGAUUCAAAACUUUUUGCACUUGAAUCAGCCCAAUAAUGGGACAUGUCUGAGAACAUUAGAGUAAGGAAAGAAUUUGGGAUGACUUUACUUUCAUAUGGGCGACAUCAUAUCACGAAUUAGAGCAUGAAAGGGGAACAUUCCGACUCUAUUGCACAGACUAGAACAUGAAGAAAGAGAGACAUUCCUAAACGCCUAGUAGCCUUCUUCUUAUAAGUGUAGCGCGCUACACACCCAUAAAUAAGACUCUACCCGAUGUGAUUUCACAGAUACCCUGGGACCAUGAACCGUGCUUUGAUACCAAGUUUGUCACGAAUCGAACCGGGGCCCUGGCCAUGACGAGUAUUCCGAACCAUCAAGGCCCAAAACACCCCUUAUCUAUAUGGUAAUCAUGCACAUGACUUGUAUGAAAAAAAUGCAGAAGAUACACUAUAUAACGGAAACAUGGUCAAGAAUCAUAUGAAAACAAUAAUGGGGAAUAAUGUCCCACAAUCUCAAUCAACAUCUCUAUAAUGUCUAUGAAAUCUCUACUACAUGACUGAAAUAAAUAUCUAUCUGAAAACUGGGACAAGGCCUCCAGUAGACCCCAAACUAAUAAAUGAUAAAUGAAACUGGAAGAUAUCAGGCCUUCUGAAAUAUAGAAGGCUCACCAAGUGACUCUGCGAAUCUGUCUGAGGAAAUCUACUGAUUUUUUGGAUCCCUAGACUGUGACUCCGAACCUGGGAGGGAAGGGGGUCAAUACAAAAGUACUGGUACGCAGAGAUAUCAAAACAAAACAUAAUAUUUUUACAAAAUAUAAUUGAGAUCCAUUAUAAAGAAGUUUCAUAUCAAAUCAUUUGAAAACACAUGGGCAUAAUGUAAUUGUUUUCAACAACAAUGCAAUGCAGCUGAGCUAGGUGAAAUACCCUACAUAUCACAUUUACACCAACUGUCAAACCUCGGUUGCCGCCGAGAUUAGAGUAUAAGUGAGGGGAAGACACACAAGAUCACACAGCAGGGUGUCUCGACCCAAUGGUAGUGCACAAAAUCACAAAGCAGGGCUCCUAACCAUAGUCCCAAUUUGGGAAUGACAUAAAGUCCGGUACUCAAGAUCACAAAGCAUGGUACCAAGUUCCUAUGUCGGCAAACACAAUUUCCAGCGAUGAGCCCUUACACUCAAACGCCUUCUUCGGGCAUCCACCUAUCUCGUGUAAAAUCAAUGCAUUCAAAUUUCAUCUGAUUUAAUCACAUAUCGUAUUCUGUAGGGUAUCGUCAUACCCGACUUGCAAGUCAUCAAUAUCACAUCAUUACUUCAUGCAACCAUUAUAUUCAUCAUAUUUCAACAUAAUAAACCUCUCCUUGUAAGUCGAAAAUCAUAUCCACUUUCAAAAUAGUUCAUGUCAUGCUUGUCAAGAUGAUUUCAAACAAUUCACAUCAUAUGAAAAUUUCAAACAAUUUCAUAUCAAGAGAGGGGUUUCAUAUAAUUCAUGCUCUCAAGUUAACAUCUUUUGAAUC
rnacentral:lncRNA from 1 species